GUUUAAAAUAUGUGUUGUUUUUGGACAGCCACAGUGAAUUCAGAGAGUAAGGAAACUGUGAAACCUGAUCAACGUGGCUACGGUGACAAUGGAGGAAAUUACAAUAACGGAGGAGGUUACCAGGGAGGAGGGGGUAAUUACCAAGGAGGAGGAGGUAAUUACCAAGGAGGAGGAGGUAAUUACCAAGGAGGAGGAGGAAGAUACCAAGGAGGAGGAGGACGGUACCAAGGAGGAGGAGGACGAUACCAAGGAGGCGGUGGGCGACAAGGAGGAGGGGGAAGUGGGGGAAGUUACUGCCGCCACGGCUGCUGCUACAGAGGUUACAACGGCUGCUCAAGAUGCUGCUCGUAUGCCGGAGAAGCUGUUCAGACUCAGCCCGGUCACUAAAACAAUAUAUUAACCAAUCACCACCAUGCAUGUAUUGCAUUAUGUAUGUAUGAUUUUAAGUAAACCAUGGUGCGUUUGUAAUGAACUGCCUCAAGUUUUUGAGGCACUAUAGAUUAAGAAGAGAACUAUGGGAAUAAAGUUUGAUUAUGUAAUGUUUUAUGUGGUUUGAGUUGUAAUACUUGCUGUUUGCAUAAUAAAAUCGUUUGUAGUUUAUG
rnacentral:sRNA from 1 species